AACAAAGAAACAAAACAAAAAAUCCAGUCCCUCUUUAAACGUAAAUUGCUCUCACACUUGUUUUAACUAAAUGUUUACCAUAUAUAUAAAUUGAAAUCAUUUCAACAACAGGCUACUGUCGUACUGAUGACAAGUUUUCAUUCAGCAUCUCUGCAUCUUCAAGUUCAAGGUCACAACAAGUUUGUCUUACAUGAACUGGUUCCCUGAUUGCAUUUGGAUAACAGACGUUCUUCUAUCGCACUGCAACUCAGGACUCUUGUAGAAGUUGAACUUUACCAGUUUGAAGGUGUACAACUGUGCAAGUAUUGAACAUCAGCUUCAAAUGCAAUGUGAUCUAAAAGACAGCAUAAUAAUGGACAGAUGUUCUCUGGUCGUUAGUACUUGUUUGCCACACACAUGAAGAUAUUGAUCCUGCUUUCAGCUAAAUAUCAGAAAAAUUAAGAACAAAGGAAAGGAUGCUGAAACUGUACAGUUACCGGUCAGGAUUAUUUCAGAAGUGAAAUUAUAAUACAAUAUAUGUUACUGGCUAAUUCCUAUGAUUUGUAAUUUUAAACAAAACACAUAGACUUUGCAUUAUUGUUUUACAAGAGAGACACCAAAAGAUGCAGUCAACA